CCUACGGGUGGCAGCAGUGGGGAAUAUUGGACAAUGGGCGAAAGCCUGAUCCAGCCAUGCCGCGUGUGUGAAGAAGGCCUUCGGGUUGUAAAGCACUUUCAGUGGGGAAGAAAGCCUUGGGGCUAAUACCCUCGAGGAAGGACAUCACCCACAGAAGAAGCGCCGGCUAACUCCGUGCCAGCAGCCGCGGUAAUACGGAGGGUGCGAGCGUUAAUCGGAAUUACUGGGCGUAAAGCGCGCGUAGGCGGUCUGAUAAGCCGGUUGUGAAAGCCCCGGGCUCAACCUGGGAACGGCAUCCGGAACUGUCAGGCUAGAGUGCAGUAGAGGAAGGUAGAAUUCCCGGUGUAGCGGUGAAAUGCGUAGAGAUCGGGAGGAAUACCAGUGGCGAAGGCGGCCUUCUGGACUGACACUGACGCUGAGGUGCGAAAGCGUGGGUAGCAAACAGGAUUAGAUACCCUGGUAGUC
rnacentral:rRNA from 1 species